AUGAAGCUUAAUGCGUCAGCUGGCCCAGAUGGUUUCAAUGUGGAAUUUUAUCUGGCAACAUGGGAUUGGAUUGGGGAUGAUGUCACUGCUUUGGUUAUCAGUUUUUAUAACACAGGUAUCUUACCCCCUCACAUUGGGGGCACUAACAUUGCUCUCAUCCCUAAAAAGCUUGUCCCCCAAGUCCCUACUGAUUGUAGACCUAUUAGUCUUUGUAAUGUUAUCUAUAAGAUCAUUGCUAAAUCUUUGGCCAAUAGACUCAAAGCCCAUCUGCCUGAUUAUAUUAACCCCGUUCAGCAAGCUUUUAUACAAGGUCGUAGAAUUAGCGACAACAUCAUUAUUGCCCAAGAAAUCACUCACUCCUUUGCUCUUAAGUCUUGGAAUCACAAUGCUUUUAUUCUUAAAAUUGAUCUUGCAAAAGCUUUUGAUCGUAUUGAAUGGAAUUUCAUUGUUUCCGCUCUUCAACGUAAAGGAUUGCAUGCUCAUUUCAUUAAUUUAAUUUAUGCAUGCAUCUCCUCGCCUUCGUUCUCAGUCAUUAUCAAUGGUCAACCUACUCAUAGAUUUAAAAGUAAUAGGGGUAUUAGACAAGGAUGUCCUAUGUCCCCCUAUCUUUUUGUGCUUGCCAUUAAUGAACUUUCUCUUACUCUCAAUGAUGCUAUGGCUGCUAACCACCUUCAAGGUAUUUUGCUUGGGCCAAAUUGCCCCGUCCACUCUUUGCUCUUUGCAGAUGACCUUCUGGUUUGUGGCCAAGCUAAUUUGCAAGAAGCUAGGAUGAUUGCUCACAUCAUCCAUCAUUUUUGC
rnacentral:rRNA from 1 species